GGAGAUGUUCCAGGCUUGAGUCCGAGCAUCCGAGACAGAGGAUGAUCAAGAUUCUGCGCUUUAAAUGAGGUGUUCAUAUGGCAAACAGCAAUAGCUUCCACUUUAUCUACAUUCUCACCAUCUAGUAAUACCUUCACAACCUUAUUUACACCUUUAACAUCAUAGUGGCAAUAGUAUGAACCAUAUUUUGGAUGACAAAUUACCUUUCUUGAACCUAUAAUCUCUU
rnacentral:misc_RNA from 1 species